CUACGUGCCAGCAGCCGCGGUAAUACGUAGGGUGCGAGCGUUAAUCGGAAUUACUGGGCGUAAAGCGGGCGCAGACGGUUACUUAAGCAGGAUGUGAAAUCCCCGGGCUCAACCUGGGAACUGCGUUCUGAACUGGGUGACUAGAGUGUGUCAGAGGGAGGUAGAAUUCCACGUGUAGCAGUGAAAUGCGUAGAGAUGUGGAGGAAUACCGAUGGCGAAGGCAGCCUCCUGGGAUAACACUGACGUUCAUGCCCGAAAGCGUGGGUAGCAAACAGGAUUAGAUACCCUGGUAGUCCACGCCGUAAACGAUGAGUGCUAGGUGUUAGACCCUUUCCGGGGUUUAGUGCCGUAGCUAACGCAUUAAGCACUCCGCCUGGGGAGUACGACCGCAAGGUUGAAACUCAAAGGAAUUGACGGGGGCCCGCACAAGCGGUGGAGCAUGUGGUUUAAUUCGAAGCAACGCGAAGAACCUUACCAGGUCUUGACAUCCCUCUGACCGCUCUAGAGAUAGAGCUUUC
rnacentral:rRNA from 1 species